rnacentral:rRNA from 1 species
AUUGAACGCUGGCGGCAGGCCUAACACAUGCAAGUCGAACGAGUGGCGGACGUGUGAGUAAUGUCUGGGAAACUGCCUGAUGGAGGGGGAUAACUACUGGAAACGGUAGCUAAUACCGCAUACCAUCAGAUGUGCCCAGAUGGGAUUAGCGUGUUGGUGGGGUAACGGCUGACCAAGGCGACGAUCCCUAGCUGGUCUGAGAGGAUGACCAGCCAGACGGGAAAGUGGACACGGUCCAGACUCCUACGGGAGGCAGCAGUGGGGAAUAUGGCACAAUGGGCGCAAGCCUGAUACAGCCAUGCCGCGUGUAUGAAGAAGGCCGUCGGGUUGUAAAGUACUUUAAGCGGGGAGGCGUUACCCGCAGAAGAAGCACCGGAUAACUCCGUGCCAGCAGCCGCGGUAAUUC